rnacentral:rRNA from 1 species
UUUAUUGAACAAAUUUCUUUGGUGGCGGGAACAAUCCUUCCGCCCGCAGAGCUUAUAAUUGCCCAAACUUUUUUUUUACAGUCAAACUUGAUUUAAUAUUACAAUAGUCAAAACUUUCAACAACGGAUCUCUUGGUUCUCGCAUCGAUGAAGAACGCAGCGAAAUGCGAUACGUAAUAUGAAUUGCAGAUAUUCGUGAAUCAUCGAAUCUUUGAACGCACAUUGCGCCCUUUGGUAUUCCAAAGGGCAUGCCUGUUUGAGCGUCAUUUCUCCCUCAAACCCCCGGGUUUGGUGUUGAGCAAUACGCUAGGUUUGUUUGAAAGAAUUUAACGUGGAAACUUAUUUUAAGCGACUUAGGUUUAUCCAAAAACGCUUAUUUUGCUAGUGGCCACCACAAUUUAUUUCAUAACUAAGACCUCGGAAUCACGUCCGUAUGGAAAAU